UAGCGAAAGAUGUAGAACUAAAAAUUAAUAGUAAGACUAGGAACCACCUUUUUUGCUAACUCAAUCUCCCUUGAGUUAGCUUUUUC
rnacentral:sRNA from 1 species